rnacentral:rRNA from 1 species
AGCAUUAUACCGUGAAACUGCGAAUGCUCAUAAAUCAGUAUCGUUUAUUUGAUAGUACCUUACUACUUGGAUACCUGUGGUAAUUCUAGAGCUAAUACAUGCUAAAAACCCCAACUUCGGGAGGGGUGUAUUUAUUAGAUAAAAAACCAAUGCCCUUCGGGGCUCCUUGGUGAUUCAUAAUAACUUCUCAGAUCGCAUGGCCUUGCGCCGGCGACGGUUCAUUCAAAUUUCUGCCCUAUCAACUUUCGAUGGUAAGGUAUUGGCUUACCAUGGUGGCAACGGGUAACGGGGAAUUAGGGUUCGAUUCCGGAGAGUUAGCCUGAGAAACGGCUAACACAUCCAAGGAAGGCAGCAGGCGCGCAAAUUACCCAAUCCCGACACGGGGAGGUAGUGACAAUAAAUACUGAUACAGGGCUCUUUUGGGUCUUGUAAUUGGAAUGAGUACAAUUUAAAUCUCUUAACGAGGAACAAUUGGAGGGCAAGUCUGGUGCCAGCAGCCGCGGUAAUUCCAGCUCCAAUAGCGUAUAUUAAAGUUGUUGCAGUUAAAAAGCUCGUAGUUGAACCUUUGGCCUGGCUGGCAGGUCCGCCUCACCGCGUGCACUUGUCCGGCCGGGCCUUUUCUUCUGGAGAACCGCAUGCCCUUCACUGGGUGUGUUGGGGACCAGGACUUUUACUUUGAAAAAAUUAGAGUGUUCAAAGCAGGCCUUUGCUCGAAUACUACAGCACGGAAUAAUGGAAUAGGACGUGCGGUUCUAUUUUGUUGGUUUCUAGGACCGCCGUAAUGAUUAAUAGGGACAGUCGGGGGCAUCAGUAUUCAAUUGUCAGAGGUGAAAUUCUUGGAUUUAUUGAAGACUAACUACUGCGAAAGCAUUUGCCAAGGAUGUUUUCAUUAAUCAGUGAACGAAAGUUAGGGGAUCGAAGACGAUCAGAUACCGUCGUAGUCUUAACCAUAAACUAUGCCGACUAGGGAUCGGGCGGUGUUACUAUUUUGACUCGCUCGGCACCUUACGAGAAAUCAAAGUGU